rnacentral:rRNA from 1 species
CCUACGGGGGGCAGCAGUGGGGAAUAUUGCACAAUGGGGGAAACCCUGAUGCAGCCAUGCCGCGUGUGUGAAGAAGGCCUUCGGGUUGUAAAGCACUUUCAGCGAGGAGGAAAGGGUGUAAGUUAAUACCUUACAUCUGUGACGUUACUCGCAGAAGAAGCACCGGCUAACUCCGUGCCAGCAGCCGCGGUAAUACGGAGGGUGCGAGCGUUAAUCGGAAUUACUGGGCGUAAAGCGUGCGCAGGCGGUUUGUUAAGCGAGAUGUGAAAGCCCCGGGCUCAACCUGGGAACCGCAUUUCGAACUGGCAAACUAGAGUCUUGUAGAGGGGGGUAGAAUUCCAGGUGUAGCGGUGAAAUGCGUAGAGAUCUGGAGGAAUACCGGUGGCGAAGGCGGCCCCCUGGACAAAGACUGACGCUCAGGCACGAAAGCGUGGGGAGCAAACAGGAUUAGAUACCCAGGUAGUC